rnacentral:lncRNA from 10 species
CAUGAUGGAAGGAGCUGGGAUCCCUGAAUCACCUUGUGGAGGAGAACUUAACUUACAUCAGAAUGAGCAUUCUUGUAGUUGAUCCAGUCCACUGAAGAACUAGAAGAUUCAACAGGGCAAGUGUGGUCUCUCCAGUUGGACUCCAAAAGAGUGGGGCAUUUGCUAUCUGCUUAAAAUGAGGAAGUAUCUAUCAGUUGAAAUUAAAUCGUCUUCCAACUUGAA